GGAUGUGAGGGCGAUCUGGUUGCAACAUCUGUCACCCCAUUCAUCGCCAGGGUUGAUUCGGCUGAUCUGGCUGGCUAGGCGGGUGUCCCCUUCCUUCUUCACCGAUCCAUGUGCGCCCCUCCUGAAGCUGCAUGCUCCCUCAAAGAGGACGACCUCCCCCCUCACCCCCCAGGAGGGGAACGGUCUUCGGUCAAGGGUAUAGGAGUAGCUGUGCUCCACUGCUAGAACCUCCAAACAAGCUCUAAAAUACAACACAAAGAAAUCUAGUAUAAAUUAUUUACAUCCUUCCAUUCUUUGUAAGUUAUGUAUGUCUGCAGAUUUCU
rnacentral:snRNA from 1 species